GGACAGGUGCUCGAGUGGCUGAAGAGGCACGCCUGGAAAGCGUGUAUACGCCAACAGCGUAUCGAGGGUUCGAAUCCCUCCCUGUCCG
rnacentral:tRNA from 1 species